rnacentral:misc_RNA from 1 species
GAUGAAGAACUAGCGAAAUGCGAUAAGUAGUGUGAAUUGCAGAAUUCAGUGAAUCAUCGAAUCUUUGAACGCACAUUGCGCCCCUUGGUAUUCCAUGGGGCAUGCCUGUUCGAGCGUCAUUUGUACCUUCAAGCUCUGCUUGGUGUUGGGUGUUUGUCUCGCCUCUGCGUGUAGACUCGCCUUAAAACAAUUGGCAGCCGGCGUAUUGAUUUCGGAGCGCAGUACAUCUCGCGCUUUGCACUCAUAACGACGACGUCCAAAAGUACAUUUUUACACUCUUGACCUCGGAUCAGGUAGGGAUACCCGCUGAACUUAAGCAUAUCAAUAAGCGGAGGA